UACGGUAGGGGGCUAGCGUUAUCCAGAAUUACUGGGCGUAAAGCGCGUGUAGGCGGCUGGUUAAGUGUGAUGUGAAAUCUUCGGGCUCAACCCGAAACUGCAUUGCAAACUGGCCUGGCUAGAGUGCAGGAGAGGGAAGCGGGAAUUCCAGGUGUAGCGGUGAAAUGCGUAGAGUAUCUGGAGGAACACCAGUGGCGAAGGCGGCUUCCUGGCCUGUAACUGGACGCUGAGACGCGAAAGCGUGGGGAGCGGAACAGG
rnacentral:rRNA from 1 species